rnacentral:rRNA from 1 species
CGAACGUUAGCGGCGCGCCUAACACAUGCAAGUCGAGCGAGAAGGAAGCAAUUCCUGUAAAGCGGCGCACGGGUGAGUAACACGUAGGUAAUCUACCUCGAAGUGGUGGAUAACCUUCCGAAAGGAGGGCUAAUACAGCAUGAGACCACGGUUUCGAAAGAGAUUGAGGUCAAAGCGGGCCACUAUACAUAAGCUCGCGCUUCGAGAUGAGCCUGCGGCCCAUCAUGGUAGUUGGUAGGGUAAUGGGCCCUACCAAAGCCGAAGACGGGUAGCUGGUCUGAGAGGAUGAUCAGCCACACUGGAACUGAGACACGGUCCCAGACUCCUACGGGAGGCAGCAGUGGGGAAUCUUGCGCAAUGGGCGAAAGCCUGACGCAGCGAGCCGCGUGAGUGAUGAAGGCCCUU